rnacentral:ncRNA from 1 species
UUCGCCAACUAAUGGGCAGCUAAUCUUUUUUCACUCAAUCGCAGAACUAAAACUGCGUAAGUGGUGAAGUGUUUCAAGAAACAUUUGGUGCUGCUUAUGUGACUCAACAAGUGCGUUCAGUCUGCAAAACACAUAAGGUAAACAAAUUUAGGCAAGAACUGAUAGGACAGCACUCCUGUCAGUUUUUU